AUCCAGCUGACGAGUCCCAAAUAGGACGAAACG
rnacentral:hammerhead_ribozyme from 1 species